GAUGAACGCUAGCUACAGGCUUAACACAUGCAAGUCGAGGGGAAACGACAUCGAAAGCUUGCUUUUGAUGGGCGUCGACCGGCGCACGGGUGAGUAACGCGUAUCCAACCUGCCCAUCACUUGGGAAUAACCUCGCGAAAGUAAGACUAAUACCCAAUGACAUCCCACGAAGACAUCUGAAUGGGAUUAAAGAUUUAUCGGUGAUGGAUGGGGAUGCGUCUGAUUAGCUUGUUGGCGGGGUAACGGCCCACCAAGGCAACGAUCAGUAGGGGUUCUGAGAGGAAGGUCCCCCACAUUGGAACUGAGACACGGUCCAAACUCCUACGGGAGGCAGCAGUGAGGAAUAUUGGUCAAUGGGCGAGAGCCUGAACCAGCCAAGUAGCGUGCAGGAUGACGGCCCUAUGGGUUGUAAACUGCUUUUAUAAGGGAAUAAAGUGGGUCUCGUGAGACUUUUUGCAUGUACCUUAUGAAUAAGGACCGGCUAAUUCCGUG
rnacentral:rRNA from 1 species